GUUUGUGGUCUGGGGCGUCCGGCGUGUGCGCACGCGCGCCUGGUGGGGGCGGUGUUUUCUCUUUCAGCCCGCGGUUACCCCGGGGGAUGCCGGGAGUGAGGCCUUCCAGCGUCCACGCGGUCGGAACCAGAAGGGACUCCAGAUUCCACAUAUAAGCGAUCCUGGGCAUAUAUCUGGAGAAAACUAUAAUACAAAAAGAUACAUGCACCCCUAUGUUCACUGCAGCACUAUUUACAGUAGCCAAGACAUGGAAGCAACCUAAAAGCCCAUCAACAGAUGAAUGCAUAAAGAAGAUGUGGUACAUAUAUACAGUGGAAUAUUACUCAGCCAUAAAAAAGAACAAAAUAAUGCCAUUUGCAUCAACAUGGAUGGACCUAGAGAGUCUCAUACUGAGGAAAAGCAACAGAUGGCAUCUACACUUUACAUGCCAAGAUGCUCUCUUAGAGUUUGGAGAGAGUCUGGGAGCAGUGUAAUGUGGACCAGGCCAGUUCCAGACUGAGGCAGAGCUGGGAUCUCCUCCUCGGUCUCCGCAGCUCACAGAGCACGGCCGGGACAAGCUGGACUGUGGGCCUUCUGCCCUCGUAGAAUCUGGAAUUCACCUUGGAUUUUGGAAUCUGGAGAAUAAGCAGAGAGAUUGCCAAAGCGCCUGGACAGUACCGCCAGUGCCUUCGCAGAAGCCCAAACUGAAGGCUGCGAGAACGAGGGUCAGCUCUGCGGUCCCCCACCCAACCCUGCACCGCCCCCAGUGGUGUUCAGACAGCCUGUUUCAGGAGUCACAUGGGCUGGGUCUGCUCACUCAGACUGUUUAAGGUUUUGAGCUCAGUGGAAUAAGAAGUUUCCCUGCAGAUCUACGUGGCCUCUGGACUGAAAUACAAAAUACUUGGCAUCA